rnacentral:lncRNA from 1 species
GUAAUUGGUUUGUGUGAUGGUAUUCAAUUCUUUGGAUCCGGUCUUGUCUGGUGGUUGUGGUGGUGAGAUGAGGGCGAUGGUGGUUGUUUAAUCCCUAGUUUGUGUGGUGGAGAUGGUGGCUGAGGUGGUGACUGAUAGUGUUGGUGGUGUUCGUUGUGGUGACCGAUUGUGUUGGUGAUUGAUGGGGGUGGCGGUCGCUGUGGUAACUGAUGUUGACAGUAGUGGUCGUUGCAGUAAGUGGCGCAUUUCUCUGUUGUGGUGAUGAAUAUGUUGAUGUGCUAUGGUGUUGAUAGGUUGUCAUGAGGUGGUGGCAGCUUUGUUGGCGGCGGUGGCGGCGCUCUGUUGUUGUGGCAACGGUAAUGGUGAUAGUGAUGGUGGUUGUGGCAGUCGUGGCAGUGGUCAUCAGUGGGAAUAAAUGGGGUUGGAUGCUUGUGACCAACUUUUUUUUGACUAAUAAUUGAUGAAUUUGGAAUAUGUGACCUACAAAUUGUGACCCUGUCUUAGAAAUAAUUAAGUUGUGAUCAAAAAAUUAAUCGUGACCAAUUAAUCAAAUAAUUUGUAAAGAAUAAAUGAGUUGUAGCCAAUAAAUUUUUUUUGAUUCUAUGACUAAUGAAUAAUCUAUGACCGAUAAAAUUUUUGAUUCGUGACAAAAAAUAAUAUGCGACUUAUAAAUUUUUUGAUUUGUG